GAUUGCUCCGACACAGGGAUGUGUAAACCCGCUCCGGCGGGCCGUGGAACGAGACCACUCGAACCACAGUCAGGGGUCGGUAACGGACGAUCGCCCCAGGCAACCGAGCCAAUCCCCCCAGGGCUGGCUUCGACACACGGAUGUGU
rnacentral:sRNA from 1 species